rnacentral:rRNA from 1 species
UCGACGGUAACAUAGCUAGCUUGCUAGCUGAUGACGAGUGGCGGACGGGUGAGUAACGCGUAGGAAUCUACCUAUUAGUGGGGGACAACCUGGUGAAAACCAGGCUAAUACCGCAUACGCCCUACGGGGGAAAGCAGGGGAUCUUCGGACCUUGCGCUAUUAGAUGAGCCUGCGUUAGAUUAGCUUGUUGGUGAGGUAAUGGCUCACCAAGGCGACGAUCUAUAGCUGGUCUGAGAGGAUGAUCAGCCACACUGGGACUGAGACACGGCCCAGACUCCUACGGGAGGCAGCAGUGGGGAAUAUUGCGCAAUGGGCGAAAGCCUGACGCAGCCAUACCGCGUGUGUGAAGAAGGGUUUAGGCUCGUAAAGCACUUUAAGUAGGGAGGAAGGCCUGUAAAUUAAUACUUUGCAGGAUUGACGUUACCUACAGAAUAAGCACCGGCUAACUCCGUGCCAGCAGCCGCGGUAAUACGGAGGGUGCAAGCGUUAAUCGGAAUUACUGGGCGUAAAGCGCGCGUAGGCGGUUUGUUAAGCGAGAUGUGAAAGCCCAGGGCUCAACCUUGGAACUGCAUUUCGAACUGGCAGGCUAGAGUACAAGAGAGGGUGGUAGAAUUUCCUGUGUAGCGGUGAAAUGCGUAGAUAUAGGAAGGAAUACCAGUGGCGAAGGCGGCCACCUGGCUUGAUACUGACGCUGAGGUGCGAAAGCGUGGGGAGCGAACAGGAUUAGAUACCCUGGUAGUCCACGCCGUAAACGAUGUCAACUAGCCGUUGGAGUCCUUGAGGCUUUAGUGGCGC